UACGGGGGGAGCAAGCGUUGUUCGGAUUUACUGGGCGUAAAGGGCGCGUAGGCGGCGCAACAAGUCACUUGUGAAAUCUCCGGGCUUAACUCGGAACGGUCAAGUGAAACUGUCAUGCUAGAGUGCAGAAGGGGCAAUCGGAAUUCUUGGUGUAGCGGUGAAAUGCGUAGAUAUCAAGAGGAACACCUGAGGUGAAGACGGGUUGCUGGGCUGACACUGACGCUGAGGCGCGAAAGCCAGGGGAGCAAACGGG
rnacentral:rRNA from 1 species